GCUUACGGCCAUACCACCCUGAACACGCCCGAUCUCGUCCGAUCUCGGAAGCUAAGAAGGGUCGGGCCUGGUUAGUACUUGGAUGGGAGACCGCCUGGGAAUACCAGGUGCUGUAAGCU
rnacentral:rRNA from 1 species